rnacentral:rRNA from 1 species
CCUACGGGUGGCUGCAGUGAGGAAUAUUGGUCAAUGGGCGGAAGCCUGAACCAGCCAAGUCGCGUGAGGGAAUAAGGCCCUACGGGUCGUAAACCUCUUUUGCCGGGGAGCAAGGGCCGGGACGCGUCCCGGCCCGGAGAGUACCCGGAGAAAAAGCAUCGGCUAACUCCGUGCCAGCAGCCGCGGUAAUACGGAGGAUGCGAGCGUUAUCCGGAUUUAUUGGGUUUAAAGGGUGCGCAGGCGGAGGCACAAGUCAGCGGUAAAAUCGCGGGGCUCAACCCCGCUCCGCCGUUGAAACUGUGUCCCUUGAGUGCGCGAAGGGUAGGCGGAAUGCGUGGUGUAGCGGUGAAAUGCAUAGAUAUCACGCAGAACUCCGAUCGCGAAGGCAGCCUACCGGCGCGCAACUGACGCUCAUGCACGAAAGCGUGGGUAUCGAACAGGAUUAGAUACCCCAGUAGUC